AGAAGGUGACAUGGGACUAGUUAUCUUUCAGGAGUUUUAUGUGCCAUCGGGGCAUUGUUAUUCCUCCCCACCAAUGAGGAGAGGUUAAGGAGAUAAUUGAUCAUGCUAUCUUCCUUUACUAGAGAGACUAUCUUAUUUAGAGUGGUGUGUUCAAUUGGUUAGCCUUCAACGCCUAACUUUGGGACAGGGAGACCAUCCAUUUCAUUGGUCGGGAGAGCUAAGCUAUUGCCAUGUGUCAGUA
rnacentral:lncRNA from 1 species